GUAGUAAAAGCUAAAGUAGGAAGCGCUGGUCUUGUAAACCAGAUAUUGAGAUGAAUUUCUCUUACUUCU
rnacentral:tRNA from 1 species